UUAAGUGACUAAGCGUACACGGUGGAUGCCUAGGCAGUCAGAGGCGAUGAAGGACGUGCUAAUCUGCGAUAAGCGUCGGUGAGCUGAUAUGAAGCAUUAUUAGCCGGCGAUGUCCGAAUGGGGAAACCCAGUGCAAUCCGUUGCACUAUCGUUAAGUGAAUCCAUAGCUUAACGAGGCGAACCAGGGGAACUGAAACAUCUAAGUACCCUGAGGAAAAGAAAUCAACCGAGAUUCCCCCAGUAGCGGCGAGCGAACGGGGAAGAGCCCAGAACCUGAAUCAGUUUGUGCAUUAGUGGAAGCGUCUGGAAAGUCGCGCGAUACAGGGUGAUAGCCCCGUACACGAAGGUGCACAGCUGUGAGUUCGAUGAGUAGGGCGGGACACGUGUUAUCCUGUCUGAAUAUGGGGGGACCAUCCUCCAAGGCUAAAUACUCCUGACUGACCGAUAGUGAACCAGUACCGUGAGGGAAAGGCGAAAAGAACCCCGGCGAGGGGAGUGAAAUAGAACCUGAAACCGUGUACGUACAAGCAGUGGGAGCAUCCUUUUGGGUGUGACUGCGUACCUUUUGUAUAAUGGGUCAGCGACUUAUAUUUUGUAGCAAGGUUAACCGAAUAGGGGAGCCGUAGGGAAACCGAGUCUUAACUGGGCGUCUAGUUGCAAGGUAUAGACCCGAAACCCGGUGAUCUAGCCAUGGGCAGGUUGAAGGUUGGGUAACACUAACUGGAGGACCGAACCGACUAAUGUUGAAAAAUUAGCGGAUGACUUGUGGCUGGGGGUGAAAGGCCAAUCAAACCGGGAGAUAGCUGGUUCUCCCCGAAAGCUAUUUAGGUAGCGCCUCGUGAACUCAUCUUCGGGGGUAGAGCACUGUUUCGGCUAGGGGGUCAUCCCGACUUACCAACCCGAUGCAAACUACGAAUACCGAAGAAUGUUAUCACGGGAGACACACGGCGGGUGCUAACGUCCGUCGUGAAGAGGGAAACAACCCAGACCGCCAGCUAAGGUCCCAAAGUCAUGGUUAAGUGGGAAACGAUGUGGGAAGGCACAGACAGCCAGGAUGUUGGCUUAGAAGCAGCCAUCAUUUAAAGAAAGCGUAAUAGCUCACUGGUCGAGUCGGCCUGCGCGGAAGAUGUAACGGGGCUAAACCAUGCACCGAAGCUGCGGCAGCGACGCUUAGGCGUUGUUGGGUAGGGGAGCGUUCUGUAAGCCGUUGAAGGUGGCCUGUGAGGGCUGCUGGAGGUAUCAGAAGUGCGAAUGCUGACAUAAGUAACGAUAAAGCGGGUGAAAAGCCCGCUCGCCGGAAGACCAAGGGUUCCUGUCCAACGUUAAUCGGGGCAGGGUAAGUCGACCCCUAAGGCGAGGCCGAAAGGCGUAGUCGAUGGGAAACAGGUUAAUAUUCCUGUACUUGGUGUUAUUGCGAAGGGGGGACGGAGAAGGCUAGACCGGCCGGGCGACGGUUGUCCCGGUUUAAGCGUGUAGGUGUGAUGACCUGGCAAAUCCGGUUAUCUUUAACACUGAGGCGUGAUGACGAGGCACUACGGUGCUGAAGUGGUUAAUGCCCUGCUUCCAGGAAAAGCCUCUAAGCUCCAGAUAACACUGAAUCGUACCCCAAACCGACACAGGUGGUCAGGUAGAGAAUACCAAGGCGCUUGAGAGAACUCGGGUGAAGGAACUAGGCAAAAUGGUGCCGUAACUUCGGGAGAAGGCACGCUGGCAUGUAGGUGAAGUCCCUCGCGGAUGGAGCCGAAGCCAGUCGAAGAUACCAGCUGGCUGCAACUGUUUAAUAAAAACACAGCACUCUGCAAACACGAAAGUGGACGUAUAGGGUGUGACGCCUGCCCGGUGCUGGAAGGUUAAUUGAUGGGGUCAGCCGCAAGGCGAAGCUCUUGAUCGAAGCCCCAGUAAACGGCGGCCGUAACUAUAACGGUCCUAAGGUAGCGAAAUUCCUUGUCGGGUAAGUUCCGACCUGCACGAAUGGCGUAAUGAUGGCCAGGCUGUCUCCACCCAAGACUCAGUGAAAUUGAACUCGCUGUGAAGAUGCAGUGUACCCGCGGCAAGACGGAAAGACCCCGUGAACCUUUACUAUAGCUUGACACUGAACAUUGAACCUUGAUGUGUAGGAUAGGUGGGAGGCUUUGAAGUGUGGACGCCAGUCUGCAUGGAGCCGACCUUGAAAUACCACCCUUUAAUGUUUGAUGUUCUAACCUGGUCCCGUGAUCCGGGAUAGGGACAGUGUCUGGUGGGUAGUUUGACUGGGGCGGUCUCCUCCCAAAGAGUAACGGAGGAGCACGAAGGUUAGCUAAUCCUGGUCGGACAUCAGGAGGUUAGUGCAAAGGCAUAAGCUAGCUUGACUGCGAGAGUGACGGCUCGAGCAGGUGCGAAAGCAGGUCUUAGUGAUCCGGUGGUUCUGAAUGGAAGGGCCAUCGCUCAACGGAUAAAAGGUACUCCGGGGAUAACAGGCUGAUACCGCCCAAGAGUUCAUAUCGACGGCGGUGUUUGGCACCUCGAUGUCGGCUCAUCACAUCCUGGGGCUGAAGUAGGUCCCAAGGGUAUGGCUGUUCGCCAUUUAAAGUGGUACGCGAGCUGGGUUUAGAACGUCGUGAGACAGUUCGGUCCCUAUCUGCCGUGGGCGUUGGAAGAUUGAGAGGGGCUGCUCCUAGUACGAGAGGACCGGAGUGGACGCACCGCUGGUGUUCGGGUUGUGAUGCCAAUUGCAUUGCCCGGUAGCUACGUGCGGAAAAGAUAAGCGCUGAAAGCAUCUAAGCGCGAAACUUGCCUCGAGAUGAGUCUUCCCUUGGACCUUGAGUCCACUGAAGGAACGUUUAAGACUAAGACGUUGAUAGGCUGGGUGUGUAAGCGUAGCGAUACGUUGAGCUAACCAGUACUAAUGAUCCGAGAGGCUUAACCUU
rnacentral:rRNA from 1 species